rnacentral:sRNA from 1 species
AGCAACUCAGAAUGUGGGACCGCUGGAAGGAAAAACACCCCUGGAUGGGGCGAAGAGUUCUGUGUCAUAAUUUUGGAUUUAGUGGAAAAAGAACAGAUGAGAUUUUCUUGUUACCUUAAUUUUCCCAACAUGGAAGAUUCGGGAAUGAAGAAGGACACUGCAAAGAGUGAGGCCUAAAAACCAGUCAUGAUUUUUAUUUUGCUACUUUCUUUACGGACACGAAUGCACACAGUGUAGAGCAGCCUUAACUCUGAAUUGGAACAAGGUCGUGUAAGUGCCAGGACGUUAUUUCCAGAAGCCCACAGCUGCCGAUUCCUACACCCAGUGAUUUCCACUGCCUUUUCAUGAUUCUGGAAUUCCCAAGAACAGUGUCAUCUUAUUAGAAGGUAUUUCCCAGUUCAAACUGGAGACAAACCAACCUUCCCUCACAGGCUGAGUCCUUCUGGUUUUACUGCCAAAGCUUCCAGACUCAUCCAGGGUCUGUUGGACAUAUUUGAAUGAAUCUGUCAGAUUGUUCAGUAGUUAAUGAGGCCACACUUUCCAUGAAGACCGUAGUGGCAUCAUUUUGAUUGUACCAACAAUUGUAUCAAGUCAUGAUGAUUUUUUAAAUAUCAUUGAAAUAUAUCAUUAAAAUAUUAUUGAGAUAAA